AAAGGAAUAGACGGGGGCCCGCACAAGCAGCGGAGCGUGUGGUUUAAUUCGAUGAUACGCGAAGAACCUCACCCAGGUUUGACAUGCAUGUGGUACUGAUGUGAAAGCUGAGGGACCCUUCGGGGAGCAUGCACAGGUGUUGCACGGCCGUCGUCAGCUCGUGCCGUGAGGUGUUGGGUUAAGUCCCGCAACGAGCGCAACCCCUGUCGCCAGUUGUAUUUUUCUGGCGAGACUGCCGAGAAAACCUCGGAGGAAGGAGGGGACGAUGUCAGGUCAGCGUGGCCCUUACGCCUGGGGCUACACACACGCUACAAUGGGUGGUACAACGGGCAGCCAAGCCGUGAGGCGGAGCUAAUCCCAUCAAAACCAUCCUCAGUUCGGAUUGUAGGCUGAAACUCGCCUACAUGAAGCCGGAGUUGCUAGUAAACGCAGGUCAGCAUUACUGCGUUGAAUACGUUCCCGGGCCUUGUACACACCGCCCGU
rnacentral:rRNA from 1 species